UCUGUGUGUGUGUCUCUACCUGUAUGGAGCUGGACUGGUACUCGUGUGGUGUCUCUACCGUGUGGAGCUGGACUGGUACUCGGUGGUGUGCUCUACCUGUAUGGAGCUGGACUGGUACUCUGUGUGUGUGUCUCUCUACCUGUAUGGAGCUGGACUGGUACUCGGUGUGGUGCUCUACCUGUAUGGACGCUGGACUGGUACUCGGUGUGUGUCUCCACCUGUAUGGAGCUGGACUGGUACUUGUGGUACUCGGUGUGUGUCUCUACCUGUAUGGAGCUGGACUGGUACUUGUGGUACUUGGUGUGUGUCUCUACCUGUAUGGAGCUGGACUGGUACUUGUGGUACUCGGUGUUGCCUUGAGGUCGUCUAUAUCUAUAGUGGGAAGGCCAGAUAUCAGCAGCUCCGCUCCUGCUCUGUGAAGAUGGAGAUCAGCCUCUUGGGGAUGAUCUCGUAGAAACCCUCCAGGUAGGCAGACAGCUGCUUACGGAUGGCACCUACAGGGGGGGGGGGGGGGGGGGGGGGAGUACAGACGUUAAACACUUACAAGGCUACACAGAGUAUACCUCACUAUGACCAGACGAUUUCUGCCAAGCAAGCUGUGAGAAAAAGGCAGGUUCACAUGAAACCGACUUCCCCAACUUACAGGAUUUAUAUAUAUAAAAAAAAAAAAGAAGUAUUGCAGCACACAGGUCAAAAGCGCAUUACUUCAUGUUUUGCCGACAGUUGUUGGUGUACAUUUGACUAAAGUAUGCCCUGUUAUACAUGGCCACCUCCAACAAGUGUAUGACAUGUAUAAUAUUAUCUCUGGCUAUUCGACUAAUGUUCACAAUGUAUUAUGCCAAUUAAAGAUGUACUUUUAAAGGCUGGGUUUCUAAGAUUGAUGUGAUUGAUGUGUCUGGUCUCACCAGUCAUCUUCAUCUGACAAACCAGGUGGACGUACUCCUUCUUGUUCUCCCGGUGACAAUGAUGUUGCCUCCGUUAGGCUUCAGGUCACGUACCUCACACAACCAAAAUCCUGGACCUGAGCAAGAGGAGGAUAGAGACACACGAAGACAGAGAGAGGGACACGAGAGAGAGGGAGAGAGAGAGAGAGAGGGAUGGAGGGAGAGUGAGAGAGGGAGGAAGAAUGGAGGGGUGAGAGAGGAGGACGUGAGAGAGGGAGGAGAUGGAGGGACUGAGAGAAU
rnacentral:lncRNA from 1 species